CUGCCAAAGCAAUUUUAAGAAUCACAAGCCUUGUGCCUCGCUGUUUUCUCUAAUGAACUCUGAUUGAUCUAUGCUCCUCUGCAUUGACUAUUGGCCUCACCUAAUCGCUUCAACUGGCAAAAUUAGGUAUUGAAAUGAAAGCGACUUGGAACAAAUAACAUAAACAAAUAACAUGGGUCAAACAGCAAAAACAAUCAAACAAACAAACAUAAACGUGACGUUGUAACAAAUAACAUGGGUCAAGAUAUAAAUCAACUGACCAACAUUGUUGAAUUGUCGAUAUUUUUAUUGACUUCAAUUGACUAACAACUUUCCUUCUUUUCUUGAAGGAUGGCUUUGGCGGCGUUUCUUGAAGGAUGGCUUGGACCUCUCGUUGAUUCGCGUCCUCGAUAUUGGUUCGUGGCUUUCGAUCUUCCUGAUCUCGCCGUCUUCCGAAGAGAAGACGUUUGUCGAAGUUAUCGCAAUCGACGCUCACCAUUGUCCUGGUAAGUCACGGUUAAGCUAACAGUAACGAUAACGGCAUUGAUAAUUGUUUGGACGGGAUAUUAUCAUUUUCCCACCGACGGUAUUCUGACACAUCAUGUCAGUACUAUGGUUUAGUAAAACUAUUAAUUUAUCACCAAAUAUUAAAACUGUUAGCAUUUUCUCACCAUUCCGUUAAAACUCAGUUAAUAUGUAAUGAAAAAUUUUUAAAAGGUCAAUUUUACCCCUGGAGCAUAAAAGACCAUGUAAUUAACCUUUUAUGAAUUUUGUAAUUAAAUCAUCAUUUAUUGUUCUUCCUUCUUAAAGGACAAAAAUUACCCUUUAUGAAUUUUGUAAAAUUGACCGUGUGGUGUUAGGUAAUUCAUAAAUUGAUUUAAUUUAUUUAAUUUUUAAAGGGCAAAUUUAUUUAUUUAAUUUUUUGUGUAAAAUUAUUAUCAUCAUAUCAAAGAUUAAAUUGCUUCUUUUGCACUUUUUUUUUCAAAUUUAUUUAUUUAAUUUUUUGUGUAAAAUUAUUAUCAUCAUAUCAAAGAUUAAAUUAAAUUGCUUCUUUUGCACUUUUUUUUUUUUUGCCCUUUCAUAAAUUGAGUUUUAGUAGUAUAAUAAAUUGUCUUUAGCUCGUCAAUUUAAUAAAUAAAUUUGCCCUUUAAAAAUUAAAUCAAUUUAUGAAGUACCUAGCACCACACGGUCAAUUUUACAAAAUUUAUAAAGGGUAAUUUUUGUCCUUUAAGAAGGAAGAACAACAAAUGAUGAUUUAAUUACAAAAUUCAUAAAAGGUUAAUUACAUAGUCUUUUACGCUCCAGGGGUAAAAUUGACAUUUUAUGAAUUUUCUGUUACAUAUUAAUUGAGUUUUAACGGAAUGGUGGGAAAAUGCUAACAGUUUAAACGUUUGGUGGUAAAUUGAUAGUUUUACCAAACCAUGGUACUGACAUGAUGUGUCAGAAUACCUUUAGUGGGAAAAUGAUAAUAUCCCUUGUUUGGACACUAAUAGUUUAUUUUAUUACUUGUUUUAAUUCAUUUCUUCUUAGCAUUAGUUUUUUUUAUUUCAAUUAUAAAUUAAUGUUAAAUUAUAGUUAAGACUGUCUUAAACUACUAUAAAUAAAUAGUUUUAAUUAUAUUUUUGAGGGAGUAAUAAUAUAAUUAAUUCUAUUUUAUGUUAAUUCUUCUCUCUUCCAUUUAAAUUCUUAAAUUCUUUAUUUAUUUCUCUCUUAAUUCUCUAAUCAAACCCUUAAAAUUCUACCAUCUGGUAUUAGAGCACAUCCUUCCUGCCACAAUUUUUAUUUUUCCAUUCACUUUUGCCAAUAUCUCUUGGCUUUCGACUGGAGAUUUAAACCGGACCCACCCUCUAAACUUUUUCCAACAUCUAAACUUUUUUAACCGAACCUGAAUUUUCUUGAGAGUUUUUUUGAGGCAUCAUGAUUUUUAAGGAGCUUGAAGGCAAAGUUCAACAGUUGUCUCAACAGUUUCAUGACAAAGUUACAACCAUCGAUGAAAAGGUUACGACCUUCGGCAAGCAAAAUAACGAUCUGCAGAAACUCAUGAAACAUCUUUCAGCAAUUGAGCCAGUUGCGAAAAGGAAAACAACCAACUACUGAUCAAAGACAAGUUGAUAUAUUUACUGGAGGGACCUUUGCUCCUCAAAUGGUAAUUGCUGCCCAACCACCUAUUGAACCUGGCGAACGCAUUGGAAGUACUCUCAUGCAAGCUUGUAACAUAUGACUUGACUUUCCUAUUUUUCAUGGUGACAAUCCAACGGGAUGGAUUUUUCGAUAUGAGCAAUGUCGUCGCCUUACUGGAUUAUCAGAUGUUGACUUAUUGUCCUUAGCUAUUGGCCAUCUUGAUGGUGAUACUGUACCUUGCAACUAGGGAUGGCAAAAUAACCCGGACCCGGACGAACCCGGAUAAUUCGGGCCGGGUUGAACCCGUAUCGGAGAGUAAAAAAAGCCGGAUCCGAAAUGGGUUUUAAUAACCCGGAUGAAUCCGGGUCCGGGUUUGGGGUAACCCGUGUAUCCGGAACUCGAACCCGGAUUCAUUUUUUAUAUUAUUUUUAAUUAUAUUUAUUAGUAAAUAUAAAUACAAAUAUUAAAAAAAAACCUAAUUCUAUUUCACAAGUCAAAGGCGUCAAACACACAAAUCGCGAUUUACACAAACAAGACAAACCCUAGCUGUGCCGCCGCUGCCGCCUUCCGCCUUCCGCUGUCCCGCAAGCAAGUCAAACAACUCUCGGCUAGGUUCGCCACCGUCGCAAGGUCGGUUCGCUGUCGUCGCAAGGUUGGGUUCGCGGUUCGUCGCAGCUUGUUUGGUUCACCAGAAUCACCACCGUCGCAUGCUUGCAGCAGUGCAGUUCCUCAAUUCGUUUGAUUCACCGGCGUGAGUAGCUGUUAUACUCUGUUUUAUGUGAUUUGUGCUAUGUGAUUUGUGAUAUUGAUUUGUGUUGUGUUAUACUGUUGUGAACACCACUGAUUUAUGUGAUUUGUGCUAUGUGAUUUGUGAUAUUGAUUUGUGUUGUGUUAUACACUUAUAUUGCCGUGAACACCACUAAUUUAUGCUUGAAAUGUUGUUGAUUGUUGGUGUUAAUAGAUUCGAAAUUGUAUAUUUCAAAUGUUAGAAAGCUGUUACAGUUAAAAAUAAAUUGUUGUUGUUAAUGGAUUUGUUGCUGUUAAUAGAUUCAAAAUUGUAUAAUUCAAAUGUUAGAAAGCUGUUACAGUUAAAAAUAAAUUGUUGUUGUUAAUGGAUUUGUUGCUGUUAAUAGAUUCGAAAAUGUAUUUUUGAAAUGUUAGAACUUAGAACAUUGUUACAGACUUACAGUAAAAAAAAUAAAUAUAAAAUGGAAGAAAUUGGAGGAAUGAUUGGUUAGUUUAAUUUGUUUUGACAUAAUUCUUGUAGGGUGUUAAAUUCAUAAUGGAAAAUGAACAAAGGUAUGGAAAAUUUAUUUAUUACAUAAAAUAAAUUAAUUUGUUAUAGUAUCAAUUUAUUACUAACUAACUGUUUUGUUCUUAUUUUUAUGAUUUAUUCAUGUUUUUUAGAUGGAAUUCCAGAGGAAGCAAUACUUUCUGCAGAACAGCUUAUUGAUGAAAGUUUGAUGAGUGAGUUGUGAACAACGAUGAGUCAAGUGAAGAAGAAUAGAAAAUGAUGGAGAAAAGUUUAAACUUUGGAUUUGUGGUUUUUAAUUUGAACUUUGAAUUGUAGACUUGUGUAAUUGUGUUAUGGAUUUAUAUUUGUGGCUGUUUUAUUACUUGAAACAGCCGUUUGAAUUGUAGAGUUUGCAAACUAGCUGUUUGAAUUGUAGAGUUUGCAGAGAGUUGAUUAAUUGUGAUUUGUGAGCACUGGACUAUUAUGCCAUAAUUGUGAUUUGUUGUUUAAGUCUUAAUUAUUAAGUGCUGGGAUGGCCUUUGAAACAUUG
rnacentral:lncRNA from 1 species